rnacentral:lncRNA from 1 species
CAUGUGUGAGGCCCUGGGCUCCAUCCUGAGCACUAAUUUUUAUUAUUUUCAUAAAAAUGAAAAAAAUAAACACGUGCUGUUUGUAUACAGCUACAAAAAUAAAUAAACAUUUAAAAAAAACCAAAAAACUGGCCAAGCACAGUGGCGCUCCAGAGGUUGGGGCAGGAGGAUUGCUCAGGUCAGCUUCGACAGCUCAGACAGACCCUAUCUCAACAUUAAAAAAAAAAGGGUCUGGGAAUGUAGCUCAGUGGUAGAACACCCCGGGUUCAAACCCUAGUACCUCAAAAUUAACAACAACAAGAAAAAAAAAGGUUUAAAAAUAAAUGUUAUUGCUGCUACUAAUUAGUUUCCCUAAUCCCACGUGGUUCCAAGUGUGACUUUUUUAAAUCCCCUUUUUCUUUAAUCAGCUUUACCAGGUGACAGUAAAAUUACUUAGGUCACAUCUACAUUCGUUUAGAAAUGAGGCAUGCGGGAGGCUGAAGUCCCUGGGAUGUGAGUCAGUUAUUAAAUCCACGUGACCUUAGAGAGAGCCCCUCUUGUGCCUGGCUGGCCGCACGCCCCACGGGGACUGGGUUAAGACUGGAAUCACAAGUGCCCUACAGAGGCCUCUCCUAUGAGUUCAGCAGGAGCUCGGUAAAUAAUAUCAGAACUGAGUCAUUUAUGGUUGAAUGACACAGAAUGAAAAAUAAAUGCCUUUCAGGCAGUUCCUGUUACCUAAUAUGGACGAAGAAGUAGGCACUUUAACUAAAGGCCCCACCUGUGACCCGCAUGAACUUUUCCCUAUAAGGAUGUUGAUCUAAUUUCCUGAUCAAAAAAGGAGUCCAAAAACACUGUAAAUGAUCUGUCUGGGCCUGAAAGAAGGCCUCUUUUCUCUUCUCAAAGACCGUGUCCAUGUAAGUCUACCAAGUUUAUCUUCUGAACAGCUGAGGGGGCUGUGUUUUGCUCGGUCCUGGAGAAUGGCCGUGCACCCUGCUCUUAGCUGCGGGAAAGGUGGAAUCACCCACCCAGAGCAGGACGGGAGGCAGAGUCUGUGGCACUGGGAGUGAGAAACAAGGUCCUGAAAACAAAUUCAUACUCAGAACUUGGAAAGAAGACUGGUAUCCUUAUAGGAUUUUUUUUUUUUCAAUACAACUGUCCAUUCUCCUGUGAAUGAUAAGCCUGGGCAGAGGAGGCUCGUGGAAUUGACAUGACCAGUGCCUAGACUUUCCUACCUGAGAGUAAAGGUGAAACGAUAGAGAACGUCCUCUUUCUUGGAGAAAUGAGGUUAAAUGGCUGUUCUCAGAUAAGUGAAUUAAACUUUGAGAGCCAUAAGGAAAAGGAGCCCUUUUCUAAGGAAGUGACAACAGAUUCAUAAACUGCAUGACUCAUCAACUGCUUUCCAAUUGCAAAACUGAUCAUGAAUCACUGAAGAAAAACUUAAAAUCUUGAAAAAUCUGAGUUGUCUUUCAGGAAUCAGCAACUGCAGUCUCUGCUGUUGGUGAACAUAUUCUUAUUCACUGGCCUGGAAUAACCUUACGGUGAUACUAAAAUAGGUCAAAUUGUUAGAAAUGUUUGUUUAAAAGCCAGACUGGGCUCUGAAAUUUCUUUUGGAUGAAUCAUAAGAAUCUGGGUGAGAAAAAGAACUAUGCUUAGAUAAAUUUGUUUGAAACAGGCCUUAGAGAAAAAUAAAGAAAUCUCUUUUAGUAGAAAACUGUGUAUUCCUAACGAAGGCUCUGGUUGAACAGCAACCUGAGACAGGAUGAAGGGACCCUGACCAUCAGGAUUCCCAACAGAGGGAGGGGCAGAGUUUACCAGCACAGACCUGGGAAGAGAUUCCUUGUGCAAAACCACUGUGGACAGGUGAGACUGGAGAUGGGAAGCUGUGCUGUGCUGUUGUCUAAGAACUGGAAACAAAUGCGUGACCCAAGGGUGCUUCCAAGCAGCUGUGAAUGAUGUCUACUCAGAUUUCAAUCAUUAACUUCAGAGCAGCCUUGGGCUGGUGUCCAGGUUCAAGAGAAAGGACAGAGGUAAUAAGAUUUAACUGGAAAGAUUGGAGUGAGUGAAAGAGGAGAAAAACACUAUUGGAGUGUAGGGGAAUUAUUUUAUGUUUAGAUAAGGAGAGUUCAGGGGAAGUUAUGGGCAGUUUGCAUCAAUACUUGGAAAACUGGAAUCUAAAUAAACAAUAAAAAUGUCUCCAGACCAUGUAAACACGAUGAGUUUUACAAUUUACCUAGAAAAUCUCUUAAAAUUUGCUUGCUGGAUUGAUGUG